rnacentral:rRNA from 1 species
GACAGAGGGUGCAAACGUUGUUCGGAAUUACUGGGCGUAAAGCGAGUGUAGGCGGUUUAGAAAGUCGGAUGUGAAAGCCCCGGGCUCAACCCGGGAAGUGCACUCGAUACUACCAAGCUAGAGUAUCGGAGAGGUUGGCGGAAUUCUCGGUGUAGAGGUGAAAUUCGUAGAUAUCGAGAGGAACACCGGCGGCGAAGGCGGCCAACUGGACGAAUACUGACGCUGAGACUCGAAAGCGUGGGGAGCAAACAGG